rnacentral:misc_RNA from 1 species
UCUCGGCUUAUCACCGGCAGUCCCCCUAGAGUGCCCAACUGAAUGAUGGCAACUAAGGGCGAGGGUUGCGCUCGUUGCGGGACUUAACCCAACAUCUCACGGCACGAGCUGACGACAGCCAUGCAGCACCUGUGUGCAGGUCUCUUGCGAGAAGGAACCCAUCUCUGGGAAUCGUCCUGCCAUGUCAAGGGCUGGUAAGGUUCUGCGCGUUGCUUCGAAUUGAACCACAUGCUCCACCGCUUGUGCGGGCCCCCGUCAAUUCCUUUGAGUUUUAAUCUUGCGACCGUACUCCCCAGGCGGAAUGCUUAAUGCGUUAGCUGCGCCACCGACGGGCAAGCCCGCCAACGGCUGGCAUCGUUUAGGGCGUGGACUAC